rnacentral:rRNA from 1 species
UACAGAGGUCUCAAGCGUUGUUCGGAUUCAUUGGGCGUAAAGGGUGCGUAGGCGGCGCGGUAAGUCGGGUGUGAAAUCUCGGGGCUUAACUCCGAAACUGCAUUCGAUACUGCCGUGCUUGAGGACUGGAGAGGAGACUGGAAUUUACGGUGUAGCGGUGAAAUACGUAGAUAUCGUAAGGAGGACCAGUGGCGAAGGCGGGUCUCUGGACAGUUCCUGACGCUGAGGCACGAAGGCCAGGGGAGCAAACGGG